rnacentral:lncRNA from 1 species
UGGAGAAAUUGGAACCCUUGUGCAUUGCUGGUGGGGAUGUAUAAUGAUGCAGCCACUUUGGGAAACAGUCUGGCACUUCCUUAAGAGAUUAAACAAGCUGGGUGUGGUGGUGCACGCCUGUAGUCCCAACUACUCGGGAGGCUGAGAAGGGAAGAUGGCCUGAGCCCAGAAGUUCAAAUCCAGCCUGGGCAACAUAGCAAGAGCCUACCUCUAAAAAAAAGAGUUAACAAAUGACUCAGCAAUUUCGCUCCAAGUUAUACAGUGAAGAGAAAGACUUGCGUAUGAAUGUUCAUGACAGUGUUAUUAAGUAGCCCCAAGGUAGAAACAACCCAAUUGGUCAUCAGCUGGUGAAUGGGUAAAUAUGUUACACCCACACAAUGGAAUACUCAGCAGUAAAAGAGAUGCGAGUACAGACACAUGAACCUGUAAGACAUGCCAAGUAAAAGAAGCCAGUCACAAAAGGCCAUGUAUUACAUGAUUCCAUUUAUAUGAAAUGUCCAAAAAAUGCAAAUCUAUACAGACAGAAAUAGAAGUUGCCAGGGACUGUGGUGGCAAUGGGAAGAGCGCAGAGUUUCUGUUGGAGCCAUGGCAAUGAUGUAAAAUAAGAUCACGGUGAUGGUUUGCACAGCUCCAUACAUAUGGUCAUUGAAUUGUACACUUAAAAGUGGGUGAAUUUUAUGGCAUGUAAAUCAUACACGAUAAUGUUUUUAAAAAUGAAAUAAGCUGCCCAAGUUUUAAUUAGCUAGGAAGUGGUGCCAGGAUUCAAAUCUGUUAUCUGAUACCAAAUCCUAUCCUCUCUGUGCUAGGCCUGCUGGCAAGUCAUCCUAGAUGACAAGAGAUUGUUGCCUGCAUUUUCCUCUCCUCCAUCCCCUGCAAGACCACCCCUUUUUCCAGGCCUAAAUAUACCAACAUACAUUUACUGAGGACCUACUGACUGCCAGGCCCCAUCUUAUGUCUUGGUGCACGGGGUCACCCUGGCUAAGAUGUGUCCUCACCUGCCGAGCACUGCUGCCCUUACCUUCUGAACUUCAGUCAGAUUGUUGAUUGCAGUAAGCCGGCAUGAUUUUGGUGGUUAAAAGAUCUAAAGAUUUUUCCCACUGCUCCCACUCGUGGGGCAUGCUAGAAAACAAAUGCACCCUCCCUCAUCUCCUGCAUCCUUCUUUCAUCCCCCUGUCUGUGCGUGUCCCCUGCAACUGUUACUAAGCAACGCUCUCCAAAGAAACACCGAGAGUCAGCCUCAGCCCAAGGGGCUGGCUGCGCUUUCCUUCACUGUUUCAAGCAGGAGAGCUAGUCCUUUCUGCACAUCUGAGCAAAAUACUUGUAAAGCCUUGACUUGUAUUCACUUUUACCAAUAAACUAGAUGGAACAC